rnacentral:rRNA from 1 species
UACGUAGGGUGCGAGCGUUAUCCGGAUUCAUUGGGUUUAAAGGGAGCGUAGGUGGCCUUGUAAGUCAGUGGUGAAAUCCUGUCGCUUAACGAUAGAAUUGCCAUUGAUACUGCAGGGCUUGAGUACAGUUGCCGUUGGCGGAAUAUGACAUGUAGUGGUGAAAUACAUAGAUAUGUCAUAGAACACCGAUUGCGAAGGCAGCUGACGAAACUGUAACUGACACUGAGGCUCGAAAGUGUGGGGAUCAAACAGG